CCUACGGGAGGCAGCAGUGGGGGAUAUUGCACAAUGGGGGAAACCCUGAUGCAGCGACGCCGCGUGUGGGAAGACGGUCCUCUGGAUUGUAAACCACUGUCCCCAGGGACGAAGAUGACGGUACCUGGGGAGGAAGCUCCGGCUAACUACGUGCCAGCAGCCGCGGUAAUACGUAGGGAGCGAGCGUUGUCCGGAAUUACUGGGUGUAAAGGGAGCGUAGGCGGGACUGCAAGUUGGGUGUCAAAUCUACCGGCUCAACCGGUAGCCGCACUCAAAACUGCAGUUCUUGAGUGAAGUAGAGGCAGGCGGAAUGCCUAGUGUAGCGGUGAAAGGCGUAGAUAUUAGGAGGAACACCAGUGGCGAAGGCGGCCUGCUGGGCUUUUGCUGACGCUGAGGCUCGAAAGUGUGGGGAGCAAACAGGAUUAGAUACCCUUGUAGUC
rnacentral:rRNA from 1 species